CCUACGGGCGACUGCAGUGAGGAAUAUUGGUCAAUGGACGAGAGUCUGAACCAGCCAAGUAGCGUGAAGGAUGACUGCCCUAUGGGUUGUAAACUUCUUUUAUAAAGGAAUAAAACGAGGCACGUGUGCCUGUUUGCAUGUACUUUAUGAAUAAGGAUCGGCUAACUCCGUGCCAGCAGCCGCGGUAAUACGGAGGAUCCGAGCGUUAUCCGGAUUUAUUGGGGUUAAAGGGAGCGUAGAUGGGUUGGUAAGUCAGUUGUGAAAGUUUGCGGCUCAACCGUAAAAUUGCAAUUGAUACUGGCAGUCUUGAGUACAGUUGAGGUAGGCGGAAUUCGUGGUGUAGCGGUGAAAUGCUUAGAUAUCACGAAGAACCCCGAUUGCGAAGGCAGCUUACUAAACUGUGACUGACACUGAUGCUCGAAAGUGUGGGUAUCAAACAGGAUUAGAUACCCGGGUAGUC
rnacentral:rRNA from 1 species